rnacentral:lncRNA from 1 species
CUUCAUCCUCCCAUCGCUGCCCUCCUGCUUCUCUCACACUUCAACAAGGUUAGUUUCUUGCUCUUCUUCAAUUUUUCACUCAAUUUUCGAAUUUGAAAUCAUGAACCCGUAUAUGGGAAUUUCAAUUGGGUUUGUGUUAAUUUUUAUUUCGAAACUACUGGAACAAAUCUGUUACAAUUGGUUUUCCUUCUCUUUGUCUGGUUAAUAUGAUUUCAAAUCCGAAAAUUUAGUGAAAAACUGAAGAAGAGCAAGAAACUAACAUUGUUGAAGUGCGAGGGAAUGAAUUGCUCCGAAUUUUCGCUCGUGACGCUGGAGUUAGAGUUGUUGUGGCUGUAGUAAUGGGAGGAAGCAGGAGGGCAGUGACGGGAGGAAGAAGAAUAGAUUUUGGAGUUUUUUUUUUUUUUUUUUUUGUGGAGAAAAGACGAUGUCAUUGAGAAUAAAGCAAAGGUUACAUUCUAUCCUCCGCCAAAACAUCACACACAGCAUCAGGAGGGUCCUGAAGCCACGAUAAUGUUUCUGGUAAAGUAAGUGCCAAACGAGCUAAGCGGUACGCCGCUCGGAUAGAUUGUGGGGUUUUAGUUUUUAGUUUUUACCUUUUUUUUGUUAAGUGAAAUUUAAAAAGUAAAAGAAAAAAGAUAUUUGAAAGUAAAUUUUUCUCAGCCUUUAGAUUGACCACAAAUCUUUUGGACUACUGUAAUCCAAAAGAACGAGACUGAUAAAAUGAAAAUAAUGUUCUACAACUAGUGUUCAAACGGGAAUGAUCUUAAUCAUUAACUAGAAAACUAUUUUUUGUAUGAAAAUUCAGACACCAAAUUUUUAUCAAGUCGUUUACUCUUGUAACUUUUGGUUUUGACUAAAUUUGCAUAAGAUGUGGAGCGCAAGUGCAGGUAUUUUAUUUUGAAAAAUCUUCUUGACUUUUUCAAAUAAGCUAAGCUAGCUAGCUUCCUAUCUAGGGUAUCAAAUCCCACGUUCAUUGCGAAUGGCAGGUUUCACGGGAUAGGAAAGAACUAGCUUUCCCUCUCAUAGACUCAUACCAUUUGUGUUUUGGUUGUAUAACUGAAGCAUCCUCCUUCCCUUUAACCUUCACCAAGGAUGAAGAGAAAACAAACAAGUCACGAGAAAGUAGAACGAAGAGCCAAAAUUUUCCUUUCCUUUUUGUGUAUUUAUUGGGGUAAGAGAUAUUAAAUUUGUGUGUGCUCAAAAGUUAAAAGAGGACAGACUAGGAGGUUUUGAAGGGCAGUUGAGAAAAUGAUAGUGAUAAAGAAGUGGUAGCUACACCAUGAAUGCAUGUUUUGUGAUGUGACAUAUCUAUCUUUUUCUUCUUCGUUUUUUCAAUCUCGCUUAAAAGAAAUGUCACUAAACAAAUGAUUAGUUGGCGAAAUAUGUUUGUUAUUCAUUGUCAUAUUUUCAUCAAAUAUUUAGAAUUUGAUGUCUUUUGUUAAAUUAUUUUUCAUCAAAAAAAUACAGUUACAAAACCGAUAUACAAAAGUGGUCUCGUUAAAACUUUCUUAAAGAAAAUUCAAUAAAAAAAAGUACCACACAUAUCAUUACAAUGAAGCCAACACACAACUAUUCGGCGGUGUUGUUGCCUUGUUAAAGUAUUUAAUGGUAUGUAUAUGAUGUGUUGUUCAAAUGCGAAUUUACAAAUGAAGUUAUCAAUAAUAAAAAGUACUUAGUUUACUUGUCAUAUUUUAUUUAGGGAUAAAAACGUGCAUAUGUAUUUUAUAUAUUUUUAAUGAGUUAUUCAUAGUAUUUCUCACCAGCCAUAAGUAUAUACUAAAUCAAAGAAGUGAUUGAUUGAACUUGUAUUUUACUCAAAUUGCAGCACUUUUCCCCGUCCACUUUGGCUUUUAACAGCCUCAUUAAUAAUUAAGAACAUCGGAUUGGUUGUUUUUAUUGUAGUUAAUCAUGAUCUUCGUCCAUGAUUAUAUACCAAAGCCCCCCACUAGCAAUUUGACAAAUAGAUGACAGCUGAGCUAACUUAUCUAAUGUCAUGUGGGAACAUUGCAAAUUGCCACCAGAAAGAUUUAAUAAUAAUAAUAUAUGGUUGUUUUGUUGUUGGCAACGACUUUGCUUGAGAUUUCGAAACGGCUACCGAUUUCUUUGAAGUUGUUUAAUUUUGUGUAUCAGUCAAGAGUCUCAAGUUUUAGAGUAAGAAUGUAGAAGAAGGGCCACUAUAAAGAAAAGUUGAAGAACAAAAUGCCUCCACAUCCACAUGCCAUACAAUAACUCAUAAGUCCCAUGUAAACAUACGUACCUUCCCCAGGUCCCAACUGACAAAGGUCUCCAUCUCCACGUUUUUGUUUUUGGGAUUUUGUCUAGGUUAGUCACACACUUAUUUUCUAUGUGUGAGCGAUUUCUGAUCGUAAUAAGUUCACAUAUAUGUACAAAGAAAAAUUAAUUAUAUACGUAGAUAACCGUAACUCUAAAGAACAUAUAUAAAUCGUAUAUUCAAUCAUUAUUUUUCCUUUUUUCAUACUUUUUUUCAUGGUAGGAAGAAAAUCUCACUACUCAUGUCAAAAGUUAUGAAAUAAAUCACAUGCGGAUCACAUACUUAUUAUACAAAGUCGAAUUUUGUACAUGCACAAAUCCAAUUUAAGAUAAUGUUUUGUAAUUCCAACUUCAGAUAUUUGAAUUUAUAGGUUAUCUUUUUUAUCUAUAUAUAUAAAGUAAAAAACAUAAAACUGUGAAAUAUUUAAAAUAUCAGAAAAUACUCAUUAUUUUUUUUAAUACUAAAAUAAAUUAAAUUUUUUAUAAAAAAGAGUCUCUCGCAAAUGCAGAAACACGUGCAGAGAGACGAGAGGCUAAUAUUUAGGUAUUUCUCAUGCACUCUCUUGUACAAGGUAUGGCAGAGGAAUAAGAUUUUUUAUAUGUCCUUUGCCUUGGCUGAUUGGAUAGUUGCAUGGCUCACACAUCUCUGAGGUCCCUUUCACCCUUUUGGUCUGUUUUGCCAAUUCCCAAUAACAUCAUUCACACAAGAUUCUUGCUCUUUUUUCUACAUUAUUUUAUUGCUCUUCUUGAAUCAUCUUCCUCUUCCUCUUUUUUUUCCUUUUUUCUGUUGUUGAUAAAUUUGUUGUUAUUAUUACCUUUACAAACUCAUUAGUUUUAUUUAUUAAAAUAUGAUAUUCUUUGUUGUCAUGAUGGUGAUGGGUUGGCAUGCUCGCAGGAAUUCUGGCUUUUCUAAAUUUCUUUGACACAUGUUCAUCUUCUUCCUGUGAUGUGUCUUUUGCUUUCUGGGUUGUCCUCAGAAUUCAGAACUCAGAAUUCAGACAGUUACAGUUUAUCAUAAACCGAUUUGGAUUCAGAGUCACAAUUGAACUCUUAUUGAUUUUUCUUUUUCUGUGGAAUUAUUUGUUUGUGGGGAUUCUGUCAGGAAUUCAAUUCCCCAAGGUGAGUUUAUGCAAUUUUUGGCUCAUUUAUGAAAACUCUCUGUAUCUGUGUAUCUCUCUCUCUCUCUCUCUCUCUCUCUCUCUCUUCUUUGUUUUAUAGCAUCAUCUGCAGGUCAUCUGCAGGCUUUGGAAUUACAUGUUGUUUUCUUCUAUCGAAUUGUGGGGUCAAAAAGAGACGACUUUAAUGGUUUCCUGAUUGAAUUUGGAUUGCAGUUCACAUGCGUGCUUUUCUCGGAGCCUUCUGUUUUUGAAUUUCGCAAUUGGGUCAGAGUGAAAAAUUGCUUCUUUCAACCAAUUCAGGAUUAAUUUUGUGAAAAACAGGUAACUUCUCUUUUCAAAAUUUUAUCUGCAAUCCUUAUUGAAUUUGAUUUCUGCUGAGUUUCCUUCUUUCCUUCUAAUUUCUAUAUAUUUAUUGGAUCCUGUAGAUUUUCAUGUCUCACAGUCAUCUUUGAAUUCAACUGGUGCAACAAUUCUUGAUAAGAAACCUUGGAAUUUCGUACGCUACAAAAAUUGCUGCUCUGGUUUUGUGCAAAUUGCUCAUGAUGAUUGUCUCAAUGAGUUUUAUGUGCUUGGGAUGAUUUAAAAUUCUGGGUUUUGUGGUUUGAAUCUUAAAUGGACGUGCCUCCUUAUUGUAAGCACUUCAGAGUAUUCGGUUGCCACUUGAAUUCCUUUGCAUGCAAAUGUGUUGUUUUAGCUUUCAUUGCUCUGAUUCUCAGAGCUGUUCUGCUUCCUACGUUCCAUAAUUUUGGUGGAGCUGAACAGAGCAAGUUGGUCUUCAUCAGUAACCUCUCUUUGUCACUCGGUCAGAAAUUCGGAAUUAGAAAAGAUAAGUUUCUGGAGGUUCCUCAAAUUGUAUGGGGCUUAAACAAUCAAAAGAUUGCGUUUGCAAGAGCUUGUUUAACUGCAAGGUUUCUGAACCGGACUCUUUUGAUGCCCAGCUUGAGUGCUUCCCUGUUCUACAAAGAAGUCGAGCUCUUGGAGCCUAUUUCCUUUGAUAAGGUGUUCCAGUUCAAGAAGUUUAAUUCUCUCUGUAAUGGCUUUGUUCAACUGGGCGAGUUCUCGGAUCUUAGAAACCGAACGGAAGCCUUUGAGCUUCAGAAAGGAAGUGGAAGGAGGUGGACACCUGAGAGAGAUUUGUAUCAGUUGAAACAGCACAAUGAGGAUCCAUAUAAUGAGUUUGAGGUCAUUCGAAUCAUUGGAAAGAACCCGUUUCUGUGGCACGAUCAUUGGCCUGUGAAGGACUAUGCGAAGGUAUUUGAGUGCUUGGUUCUGGUUGAUGAGAUAAUGAAUGAAGUAGAUAAAGUUGUGUCCAGGAUUAGAGAGAUAGGAGCAGCACAAGUAAGAAGCCAGAAUGAGUCUCCACAAAAUGGCAUUAACCGGGCAGAGAAGCCUCUCUUGCAGCCAGUGCCUUAUGUGGCUGUACACAUGAGGAUAGAGAUAGACUGGAUGAUUCAUUGUAAGAAGCUAGAGCAAAGAUCAAACAUAAGUCAAAUUUGUAGCAGCAAGGAGGAGAUCAUGGAGAGAGUGGGCAACAUUGCUGGCCUGAAAACACCGGUCGUUGUUUAUUUAGCUGUGGCUGAUAGUCUUCUUCAUGAUCCAUCUAUAUUGAGUGGCUGGAAGGAAGGCUUGAUUCCUUAUGAGAAGAAGAAAUUGGGGUUUGAAGGGACUUACAAGAAGUUCCCUUAUCUCAUUCAGUCUGCAAUCGACUAUGAAGUGUGUUCAAGGGCUGAUGUCUUUGUGGGAAACAGUUUCUCCACAUUUUCGAACCUUAUAGUUCUCGAUCGAACGCAGAAGCUCAUUAGAAUGGGCGUCACAAGCUCUUGUGGUGUGGAUGUAAGGUGGCCUUCUUAUGCAUACAACAUAUUAGGGGAAGCAAAAGGCCCUCAAAGAUGGAUGACAAACAUGUCUGGCUCAAGUCUUCAAGCAAUUAGCUAUGGCUCCAAUGACAUUUCGUGUUGUGUUGAUCUUUAGUUUUUCCAUUGGUGGACAUGUUCAAGGCUCCACCACUUCUUGUAAUCUACAUCAUCCCGUCCCUCCAGCGCAAUAUUUUCGGUAUAGUUUCAAAGUUCUUUUUCCCCUUUAUAGAGAACGUUAAAAUAGCUGUUGAAUGGAUGUAAAUUUCUUAUUUUUUAUUUCAAAUGUAAGUUCCAUUCUAUUGGUUUUUUCAUCUUGAUGGCAAUGGCAUUUUUUUUUUUCCUCUCCGGGUUGGAUUUUCUCACUAUUUGUUAGUGAAUGUUACUAUUCUCUUGGCAUGAAUUCUUGUAGGAUAUUGAUGUUAUUGUGUUUGUAAAACAAGAGCAUGCCCUCAUAAAAAUUUGAUAGGAAAUGGGGUUUUUUUUAUGUUGCUCAUCCAAACACAAGCUUUCUAACCACUUUUUCCUUCUCUGUAUCUCUCUGCACCUGUUUUCUUUCCAUAAUUGAAGGAUGAUGGUACAGAUGACCAAAACAAACAGAUAAAGACAGAAGGAAAUGGAAUGGGACAGUCUUUAGCACAAGCAAGGAAUUAAGUUAUUUGGUACUUGAUUUUUGAUUCUUGUGGUGGGUCAUGUCCUUGGCUCUCAACUUUGAGCUUUUUUGGCCCAUCAUCUGUGUGUAUUUAUUUGACUUACUGAAAAUUCUCGCUCAUUAUGUUUCUUUGCUUCCCCAGUGGGACCUCAAUGCUGGGUUUUGGCUGUUUUUUCUUUGUUGAUUAGCCCUCAAAACUUCAGACAUCAAGAUCUGUAAAGGGGUCAAUCUAAUUUGCAAUUUUCUUUGAAUUAGUCAAGUUUUUGGGCAUUUUAGGCACUAUUGCUUUAUACAGGGCAACUUCAAAGUUCAAAUUUUGGCUUUAAAGGCCAAAACUUGAGACCCUGUGAGGCUUUGAGAAAAAAGUUUAGGGACUCUGGAUCAAAGUUGUAAUCUUUAUGCAUUAAUUGGCUAACUGGCCAUUGGAAAGCUUAAAUUGGACAACUUAUCAGCUGCAUGGUACUUGUUUCUAUUUCUAUUGCAGAAAACACAACAGAACAGAUGAUCUUCUCCAAUACUAAUUAAGGACCUUUCUGAAUUUCAUCUAUAAAUAUCCAAUGGUGAAACGAAAAGCAAAAGGUGUUUUGCAUGGGCCAAAAUGGGCCAAAUCCAAUUAUUGGAGCAAGAUAUGAGUCGGCCUGUGGGUUCAAGUUGGUCCAACCAAAGUGAGCAAAGAAACUCCCAAUGACCUCAAUGAUCCAAAAUUUAUAAAGUGCUUGAACCUUGGUAGGGAUUCAAAAUUUCUCUAGAUGUUGUGGUGAAAAUAUAUUAGGGAGAAAAAGUUGCAGAUGGGUCCCAAACAUACCCAACAAACUCAUUUUCAUGUCAACUUGUAGGUUUGAUAUAAUUGAAGCCACUCACUCUUGCACGAAAUUUCCAUUUAACAUCUGGAAGGGGUUUGAUUGAAGCCACCCUACUAAUAGCUACCCCUUAUCCAAAAUGAGACGUGUCCUGUAAACACUUCACAAAACCAAACAACACAUUCACUACUACAACAAUCACAAUAAUGACUUGUUCCUGUUGUUAAUGGUGGUGGGUGAGUUUGGUAUCUUUCCCAUUUACUUAUAAUGGGAAGCAAGAACCAAGAUGGGACAACUAAGCUCAAUGCAUUGUCAUGAAAAAGAAAACUAAUAAAAACAACCAUAUUUUUGGCGACUUUUAAAUGAUUGAAGGGGAGAAUCAACUCUUACUUUGAUGAGUAUUUACAGUGUUUCCCAUCUCAGAGAGAGAGAGAGAGAGAGAGAGAGGGAGAGAGAGCGUAUAAAAUGGAAAUACAUUUAUGGCAUUUUAAUUCACUAACAUGAUAAAUGUUCUUUCAAUUCAAUUCACUAUCUUUUUUUCUUUCUUUUCCUCUGUCCUUCAAGAAGAAAGCGAUCAUCAAGAAUAGAUGCUUCCCCUUCUAUGGUACACACAAGGGACCUUGAUGGUCACAAGGUUUAUCUUAACACAAUGAUCAUGAAACUACAAAGGAAAAGAGGUACAUUAUCUUCAUGAUCAUGAAAUUGGAGUGAAUAGAGCGAGGAACUCUUUACUCUUUCUUAUGCGAAAAGUAUUGGUGGGAAGCUAUGCAGGUUAUUUUCCAACUUCAGAAGUCCUAUAAUUCAUUGGAUGUAUUCUUCAUAGUAGUUAUCACUUAUCACAGAAACGAACCUCUCGAGCCAAGGAAGCUGAUGGAGAUCUUUCAUUGCAUCUACGUAGGAAUCUGUACAACGGGGUGGGGAUUGGUAGGGGGGGUGGUCACUUAAACUGAAACCCCCAGCUAGGAACCUCUGGAUCAGUGCCAACUGUGAUCUCUCUUGGUCUGAGUAUGCGUCCAUUAUCAUGGGGAGCGAAUUGAAUGUUUCCCAUGCCCAUUGCUCAGAUUCUUGCAUAGACUGAGUGACCAAGUCUUCUGUGUUGUUGUUGUCUUCAUCCCAAAAGGCACAUUGACAAGUCUGUUGGCCAUUCCUAUAUUCAGCACCACAAGAAUAACAGAACUCAUGCCUACACCUGAACAUGAGCAACAUGAAAAGCUCAGUAAAGAUUCAAGAGCUUCUAAUGAAAAGUAGACUUAACAUGGUGAACAUAACAUGCUUCUGUAUUGAACAUGUGCAAAUGUAUAACAGACAUAAGCAUUACAAACAAAGGUGAUUAAACUUAAAUUUUACUCACAGAACAUCAUAUGCUCCUUGUUUACAUGUGCAUAUGCAUAACAGAUGAAAGCAUCACAACCAAAGGUGAAACUACAGAACAUUUUGUUAUUCAAAUAGUCAGGUUAUGAUUCAAUAAAACCAAUUAAAGCUGUCUUAAUUCAAUCAGCUUUAAUCAUAGUCAGGUACUACUUUCUCCUAGAGGUUCUCCUACACACAUUUUGCCCUCUGCAUAGGGUGACACCAUUUUGUCCAAGCGAGUAUAAAAAAUUGUAUUUUGAAAAAAUUUCUCAAACAAAAAUGAAGCCUGAGAUCUGAAAUGAUUAAGUAGUUUCCAUCUACAACAGUAUGUGUAAUGAAACCGAUCUUACCAGCAUGUCAUGUGGUAGCAACCUUGAGUGAGCUCGAUCAUCCUACGACACUGCUGGCAACGUCUCCAGCUUUUAUUUUGUGCUAGGCGAUGUAAGGUAAUGUCUGCAGCAUCUCUCUCUUCCAAUGGGAGGUUUUGGAACUCCUCACAGCUCAUAGAUGAAUGCCAAGGAACCCCACAAUCUACACAGAUGAAUCUCUGACAAACUGGACAGUCAAUGCAGCUGUUAUCUGACUGACUUGAUGAACUUGCCCUAGCUGACAAACAUUCAAGAGGAUCAAGCAGGACAGAACAAUUUGGAUAUGGGCAGUAAAUUCUAUCUGAGUGGAGAAUAUUUGCCUCUGCGAGGGCUUUCUCCAAUGAUUCAUAAGAAGUGAGUGGAAGAAAAGAUUUGCACUCAGCAGUGGAGACGUAAUACUUGCACCUCGGCUGAGGACAUCUGAUGGGGACUUGCGAGGACUGCACCUUCCCAUCAACGUAUGUCCUCAUGCAAUGCGAACAGAACUUAUGAGAACAUUUCAUGGUGAUCAUCAUUAGGGAUGGUUUAUCGUCGCAACAGAUGGAACAGUUUUCAAGUGAUUCAACACCCUUAGCAGGAAAAGAGACAACUCCAAUUGCCACUUGAGCUAAUUUUGAUGGCAGCUCAAGAUCUACAGUGGGGACAAGUUUCAGAACAAAAGCAUCAAGAUGACUGGCAUGCUCUAGGAUCCUUUGCCUCAGCGCUACUAGGAGUGGAAUUUCAAGUUUCUGCUCAUGUGAUACCUGUCAAAAACUCAUGUCAUUAAAGCAAACUUGACAUGCAAGAAGACAAUUUGAAUAAUUUAAUGCUAGUGCUACAACUCAAAUGAAGUAAGGUGAAAUAAAACUCGGUAGCAAUCAUUCAAAGUGUAUUGCUGAAAGUUAAAAGGUUUUAUCCAUCACUCAAACCUAUAAAAUUGUGUUGUUAAAAAUAAUGUUGACCCCUUUUUUCGUCAAUAAAUUCAUGCGGUCACAAACGCUGAAAUUGCAAUGAAUAAUUUGGCAAGGAACUUGUGAAAAUCAGCCACCCAAAAAUCAAGGCUAGCAGAAUUAUUGGCUUCAUAUUUAAAACGUCUUCUAAAGUGGUAACCAAAAUGAACAAAGAAAGUUAACUAUUUCACAGAGAAGGACUCACCUGAUCAUAUAGCAGCUCAGAAUCUGUGAAUGCAUAAACCCGGCGGACUUUAUUUUGCACAGCUUCCAUUAGGCCAUCCAUCAGGGCUAAAUAGUUAGCCACAGGCUCCUCCACAUAAAAAUCAAGCCUUUUCUGCACCUGAAGUGCAGGAACAUUGGUUGACCUUUCCAUGACAACUCCAAUUCCAGAAAGCCCGAAACCUGAGUCCCCAUACCCAGCUAUGGACAUGCCUUUGAAGAACAUCUUCACUGAAAAUUCAUCGAGAUCAUCUUUUGGAUCCACCUUCACCGGUUCUUCGGUCUCCUUCCAAACUUCAUCAUCUUCGCAACAACUACGAAACUCUUCUUCAUCUUCCUCUCUGAGUAAAUUUACAGAAACCUCAUCACCAAAACUUGCCUGACCCUCCAUUUACACAACAGCUCUGGAAUUCUAAAACUUGAAGCUGUGAUUGUUACCAAAAUCCAACCACAAUUUGUCAACCAAACAAUCCGAAGCUCUGUAAUUUCAGCAGUCAAAUCUCUCAAAAUCACAAACAACAAUUCAUUUCAAUCACUGAUCUUUCAGAGCCUAUCUCCAAAUCAUCAUACAAAAAAAAAACCCUCCAAGGAAUCGAUCCAGAACUGCAGCCAAUUGUAGCAUCACCUCCACCUAUAAAUACCACAAAGAAAUACUGAUCUCAGACAGUAAUCAUUCCGCUCCUAAAUCCAAAUCGAUAAACAAGAAAACCCCAUCAACGAAUUCAUCCAAAUGAGCCAAAAAUCCGUGCUUUACCUUAUAUAUUCCCCAAAUCCCAAAAGAUACAUAAUUGUUAGCUCUUUCACAUAAACAAAAAUCAACCCAAAAUAGAAAGAGAGAGGACUAAUUUUCAUCCCUCCAAAACUGUACAAAAUUUCAAAGCAAUUUUUUGAAACAACAAUGAAGAAAAGAAAAAGAUAAGAUACAAAAAUAGGAAAGGGUAUCAUAUUGGAAGGGUAACUGGGAAAGAACGAAGUACAGGUUCCAUUACCUUAUCCGGAGGGAACUAAAGUCUCCGGAAUCAGAUUCCUGUUGGGGUCUGAAAUCUGAAAUGGUGUCUUGUAAUUGUAGCAAAAUGGUAGAAUAAUAAGAACCCUAAUCUGACAAAUUUCAACCUUUGGUGCCUCACCCACUUACAAGAUGCUGUUUUUAUUCUAUUCUUUUACUGGGAUUAGAUGAAAGAUGAAAGAUUUUAUUACUUAUUAGGAUGGUGAGAGCUGAGAAGAGAAUCCUUAGACUUACUAUUGCAGUUAUUGGCGUUUGAGGAAAGUUAGAAUGCCUUUGGCCUUUUGCUUUGUUGGCAUUCUCUCUCUUCCGGAACACAUGCACCUUGGAUUUCUUCAAUUCUCUACAUUCCCUUUUAUUUUCUCCAUAUUUACCCAAAAAAUACAAAAUAUCCUUGAUUUUUUUUUUUAAUAUUUGCAUACACUUAUUAAAUGCAAGAUUCCCUUUUUUUUAAUAAUUACGUUUUUUUAAGUAUGUACUUAAUUUUCUCACUAGAUUAAUUUUCUCAAUAUAAUCUAGUGGUAUUUGUCUUCAAUUAAUUAAAGGAAGUCUCAAUUUCAACUCACAUGGGGACACAUUCUUCAAUUCUCUACAUUCUCUUUUAUUUUCUCCAUAUUUACCAAAGAUGAUACAAAAUAUAUCCUUGAUUUUAUUAUAUUUGCAUACACUUAUUAAAUCAAGAUUCCGUUUUUUCAUAUGAUAAAAUUAUAUUAUUUUAAGUUUGUACUUAAUUUUCUCAAUAUAAUAUAGUGGUAUUUGUCAUCGGUUGGUUAAAGAAAGUCUCAAGUUUAUAUAAAUCUUAUAUAUAAAUCUUAAACUUGCCUGGAUACAUAUAUAUAUAUCUUAAACACUAAAAUCAACGUCAUUUUAUCAUAAACAUAAGUAUUAACAUGCAAAAACAUAACGAAAACCCUCUUUCCAUUCAACACGCCACUCCAACCUCCUACGCCACUUGAGCUACUCCCAAUCCCAAAGGUUUUGUGUAUGUAGCAUAUUUGACAAAAUGUGCCGUGUGAUUAGGGAAAGUAGAAAGGUGAAAAUGGGAGGGAAAAAAAACAUAGAGAGAAGAUGAUAGAGGAGAGUAAAUAAAAUGGAGGGAGAUGAGACCCCUCCAAACCAGGAUCACAAAGUCCAAUUUGUCUUCUUUUGGAUUGAUUGAUGGACAUCUUACACCGUUCUUUUCCCUUGAUCGUUUUCUCAUGUUUAAACCUCUCUUUCCUUCCAUUUUCCCAUCCUUCUUCUUAUUAAACAGUUUUAGUUGUAGAAUUAAAACAGUAUAAGCAUUAUUUAGCUGGAAUGUUCAAGUGUUGCAUAUAUUUCACUAAUUGUUCAGAGCAUUACUGUAUGAAAUGUGACUCAAUGGAACUUGGUAGAAAAAUAAACGCAUUAAGACAAAACCCCUAAGAUUCUCAGCCAGAAAACUGGGUUGGAGUUGGAGAAACCUAUGCAGUUUGCACAUGGUGUUUGUCUAUUUUGCUGAAGAAAAUGUGACUUUGUUCUUGACUUUUUUCAGCUUCCUGACAAUCAGUUAUAUAUAUAUAUUAUUAGAGUUAAACAAUCCCUGUAAAAGUGGAUUAAAAAAAUGAGAAUUUAAUGAUUACCAACCCUAUCUUCUUAUAUUUGAUUUGUGAAAUUGACUUCCAAGUUCCAAGCAUGUUUUUUUGUUUACCCAUUUCUUUUGACUGAGAUUGGAAAUUUAAACCCCUCUCCCAGUCAUCAUCAGUCUGUAGCCAGCUCAAAUCUGGAAACUAGAUCCAUAUAUGCAAGGGAGGAAUUAGGAAUUUUUUAACGAAUGGGUUAGUUAAAAUUAUUAGCUUAAAAUUUAAUGAUUAUUUUUUUUUUGGUACUUACAAUUUCUAUAGUCUUUCUAGAAAUAAAAGUAAACAAUAAAUCAUAUAAACCAAAUUAGUUCAUAGCUUCAUAGACUAAUUUUCAAUAAGUUUUAACAUAAACUAAAUAGGUUUAACUCCAUAGUGGAUUGAACAUCUAAGGCUCUUUACCUAGAUUGACCUUAGGUUCUUUCAUGCAUUCAUAUCAUAUAUGAAAAGUUGUUUUAUGUAAAAAUAUUGACCAAGUAUGAAAAAUGGGUUUUCAAAAUAAUCAUUUCCUCAAAAUAAUUUUUUGCGGCUUUUAUUCUUCACACAUCAAAUAAGAAAACUUGAUUUUAUGGGAUUUUAGUUUGAAGUAUAUAUUGACUUAAUGAGCCAUCAUUUUUAGCCUAAAUCGUAUUUUGCACUAAAAUCGAUUUUUUAUAUUUUGAUUUGGUGGGAAUUUGAUUUUCUAAUAUUUUUAUUUGAAUCCAAAUGGGAGAUACUUCCUUAUUUACAUUUUAAACUUAAGUAACUGUAAAUAUAUAAAUUUUAUAUACUUUUUUCUUAAAAAAUCAUACUGGGCUACAGCCCACUGUAGCCCUUAAUGUGGUUCCGCCCUUACAUAUAUGACUUAACUUUAAAAACCCAGGAGUUAAUUAACAAAAGUUUAAUGACUAAUUUAACAAAUCUGGAAACUAUUUACCACAAAAUUCAAAUGGUGGCAAUGUGAAUGCAAUGUACCUCUUUGCAGUUUGUACCUAAUCGCUUUUCUUGCACAGCUUUACACUUUACAGGUUGACAAUCAAUCAUCAAUCAUGCUAUUAAAAAAAUCAUCAUGUUGCUUAUAGAGUUUGGUUUAAGGUGGGGUACUCUUUACCUAUAGAGGAAAGGGACUUGACUCUAUGAUUGCCUUCAAAUAGUGACUUGCUCAAAAACGAUGUGUCGUUACAUUUAAGUAAGGAGGGUCACGAAAAAAGAAGAAGAAGAAACUAACUCAUUUAUAAUAGAGAAAUAUUCAUAAAUUAUGACAUUGGUGAUUCAUGGUAUAAUAAAACGUUGUCAAAUUGUCAAUUUAAAGAAAUGAAGGUAAUUAUUGUUUAAAUGUAUUUUUUUUUUACCAAUAAAAAAGUGUACAUAUUUAAAAUUUACCGUCUAAUUUGGUAACGUAACAUUUUUAGAUUUAAAAAAAAAAAAGAGAAUAUUAAUGAAUAAUUAAGAAUAUGCUCUAAGAAGACAUCAAAUGAAAUAUAAUACUCAAGUUGGAUUAAAUUAUGGACGGUUCAAUUUUGUUUUCUCUUUUUGGAAAAUAUUAGUUCCAAAGUGACAAACCCUUUUGUUAAUAAAAGUUCCAUGAAGUAGGAAUUAGUCGUGUCCAUGAGGAAGAGGAAUCAAAGCAGUCAACUGCGGUGCAUAGUGUAUGACUUGUCUUUAGGCUUAAUGUUCAUCCAUUCUAUGCUCAUCAUUUGUCCUGCAAUUUUAUUCUGUCAAAAAUGGGUCCUUUAAGUUUUGACUGGUGCAACAAAACGACAAGCAGCUGGUAGAGAUUGGAACUUUCGGUGUUCCAAACGUGGCACUAUGUUCUAGUUGACUUAUUAGCUUUUAUUUUUUUGUUUUUGUUUUUUUUUUUUUUUAAUGACACCUAACUCAAUGGAAAAUAUCCUUAACUUGCAGACAAAAGAUCUCAAGUUCGAACCCCCUCACUUGUAUUUUUUAAAAAAAUUAUUUUGAUUUUUUCCCAUUUACAUUUUCAAGCACAUUCUAUAAAGUUAAAAGGUAAAACUAAAUUUACACUUCUUUUGGAUGAGUCCAAUUUUCCUGUUACUAUUUUCCAUGUGGCCCUUAUUACUUAUCUAAACUCUGAAACAUGUCCCUACACUUGACCUCUAAGUUAACAAUGUUAACUUUUAAUAAAAUUAAAAGUAAAGACAAAAACAAAAACAAAUUAUUAAACAGCCACCAAAGCUUUGCACCCACUCAACCCCUACCGCCGACAACUCCUCACUUUCUCUCCGGCAGUGGCAGAGCUACUUCUAGGCCUGGAGUGGCCUUGGCCCCCCCAAUUUUUUUUUUAAUCUCUCCUCUAUUAUAUUAUAUAUAACAUAUAGAAUUUGUAAUAAACCACUUAUAAUUUAAGUUAAAGUUCCCUCUAAAACAAAUUAGACAUGACUAAAUUAGAAAUAUUUAGUUCUAAAUAUGUAAUUAUUGAAUACUUAGAUAUUUUAUAUACUUGUAUUUUCUACUUCGACCCGCCUAACUUUACAAUUCUAGCUACACCCUUGCCCCAGUCAUGCUUGCCGGAAACAAAUCUUUUUUCUUUCUCUCUCGCCACUUUUAUCAUUUUGCUCCCCAAACCCAAAACCCCAACAACAUAGUUAAGAUCGGGUUUAGAAUAGAAUAGUUGUGAACAUGUCUUCCAAAUCCAAAACCCCAUCAUUCCAUUUUCCAACUUAGAGUCAAUCUCAGCCAAGGGAAGAGCCAACAUAUAAGAUGCACAUUUGGGGGCUUCGGUAGCUGUUUUGUUGCGUCGUUUGAUUUUUCUUUAACAAUUUAUUUUUGUUUUUGUUUGUAAUUUUAUUAAAAAGUUAACAAUAUAGGGAUAUGUAAGAGUUUAGAUAAGUACCAGGAAGGCACAGGGGAAAUGAUAACAGGAAAAUUGAACAUCUUUUAGAUGUGCCACCAUGAUGAAGGAAGUAAUACAAGCGAGUAAAUAGUAUUUAUUUUCCCUUAUAUUUUUUUAAAAAAUGGUUCAAAGAAGAAUGCUACAAAAAGAAAAAGAAAAAAGUUUCUUAAUCCUCUCUAUUCCCUUAUAUUUAUAAAAUACUUUUAUAACGGGCCAACAGACUCUCAACAAAAAGAUAGAAAUUUAUCUUUAUGAAUUAUGCAUAGCAUUUAUACGAUUUUACGUCAUUUCUAUCGGGCCUGAAUUUUAAGGGUGUUGGGUUAUCCAGAACCCAAAAUCUACUGUUCCUGCAAUUCUAGGGUUUUUCUUUAGCAUCCAAUAGGCUGUGGCUUUGGGCCUAAUUUCCUAAUCCAUGGAAAACCCAUGAGAAAUUGAGAAAGCAAAACCACCGUGCAAAAGUUUGAAUAAACUUCUCCUUUUCUUGCAUAUUUCAAUUUCCUUUUGUUUCUUUAUCUGCUCAUGAAACUUGAAACAAGGAAGUUUGGCUAUUUAUAGCACUUGAGGGAAUCACAAUACAAAAGUGACAACACAAAAAGAUCGACCUGUGGAAACAUAUAACGAUCAUAAACCUGAAACUAGAGGAAAUCAAAACACAUAUUAUAAGUGCAAUAUAUAACAUCGCUUUUCAGAUCAUGGCAUCAAUAAUUUAUUGGUCUUAUAAUUAAGCCCAUUUUGCCAAUACAGACAUGCCACCUGCACCCAAAAGGACCGCCAUGUAAGAUUUGAUCUGGAGCUUGAUGCUACGCUGCAACUUUGGACCCAUGAAGUCAGCAGCAAGAAGAUCAACCAGAGCCAUGUAGAUAAGAAGGCCAGCUGAGGAUGCAUUGAGCAGCCCUACUGUGAUUAGCGACCUUGGACUAUUUUCUUUGUAUGAUUUUGUAAGGGCCAUUCCGAUUGCAAUUCCGAAUGGGGUUGUUGUUGAGAAGAAGAACACCAUGAUUGCCUUCUUCAUGAACUUGUACUCGGCCUGCAUUAAAUUAUAUUUGUUCAUGAGCUAAUUGAAGUUUGAUCAGUCAUUAAGUAUAUAUUAAUGGAAUAUAUAUACCUGGAGAAUGCAACCACCAAGACCCAUGCCUUCAAACAUUUGAUGGAAGCAAAGGGCAGCUACAAGACCUUUAAUUGUGCAAGUGUUGUUUGAUGCUCCAAGAGAAAGCCCAAUAACAACUGAGUGAACAAUGAUACCCAGUUCUAAUACCUGCAACAAUACACAAGUAAUUAUAUUUAUCCAUGUACUAUGUUAUCUAACUGUCAAUCUGGUCAACUACACGUUGAAUCGAAAAUUCACCUCAUCUAUAGUUCUGAUUAACAUUUUCGACACAAUAGGUUACAACAACGCAUAACAAAAUUCAGGAAAAAUAAAUUUUCACUUCACUAAUGAUUUAAGUUAACAAUAUAUAUGGCGUGUCAGACUGUCAAAUAAGAUAAAAAAUUUAUUUCUCACCAUGGCAACAACGCGAUAACGGGGAAGCUGUGAGUCUUCAUUUCCUCCCUUGACUAUGUCAUGACUGUGAGCAUGAAAAUGACCAUGCCCAGCACCCACUGCAGCCAUCUCUUGGUCCACCUCAACGGCUGCAACCGUCCCAUUAUCUGGGAUAACUCCAGUUCUGCAUCUCUUGCUAUAAAUACUAGUGGCCAUAGAAUCCACCAUCAAAGUCACAAUUGCAGAGAGCAUAGCCACAAACCCUGAGAAAGGAAACUUGUGCCACGGGUUUUCUUUCAAACAGUUGGAUGAUAACAUGUCAAAAGAAUCAGGCAAGACGUGCAUGAACCCCGUGGCAAGGAUGAUGCCGGCUGCAAAGCACUUGACAAUCACAAACAGGUUUCGAUCGGGGUGCAACGCGGGUAUCGAACGAGUAACAAGAGGCAAGGACACCCCGAUCAUGCUCGUGACCAAAAUUGUGGUGAUGGCUAUGACUUUGAGCGGCACAGCUCCAGACUUGUCAUUGCAGGAGUUGGUUUCUGAGCCGCAUUCAUCAGACUCUGAAUGGACUUGGGGAGUGAGAAUGGAGAUGAAGAUGAUGAAGAUAAUUGGGGUGAGCUUCAAAUGUGACUUGGUGGCCAUUUUUUUACUCUGACUUUAGCUCACUCAAAUAAGUUUUGGGCUCAAUGAUUUGGAGUGACCUUGGAUCUUGUUUAUAUAGAGGGGUCUGAGAUUGAGCAAUCAAUAGUGCCAUGAUGCGAACAGAAUAAAUAAAUAAAUAAGCUGAUUAAUAUUGUUUUAAACGAUAAUUUAUUGUUUUAUACCAACUUGACAAAAGAAAAAGCUCUGUUGAUGUGUUCAACGAUAAAGUUUUUGCUACCUUCUCAAAAGAAAAUUCAGUCUAUUGGAGAAUUGACAUACGUAACAGUUUUAUUCUUCAUGAAUAUAUUAUGCAAGCAGCCGUACAUGGAGCUGGUACAGUUGGAUAAGGCUUCCAACAUUCCAGUUUAAUUUCUCAGGUCAACCAAUUCUGUGAGAUGCCAAGGGUUCAAUUAUACAUGUGAUAUUGAUUUCCAAGCAUAAUUUUCCAUAUAAUUAGGCUUUCAUCAUCAAAUUAGUUUUUACGUACCAAAUUGAGACGGUUUAAUUUCUAAAUGGAAAAGGUCACUCUCAUUUUUCUUUUUUCUUCAUUCAACACUGUGAACUUUUGAGUUAUACACCAAAUAUGUAUCGUCUGUGUGAUUCGACCACCUUCAACAAAGCGAAGACAAACUUCACCGAAUCAAAGAGUAAUUUGCAUUUGCAAAUUUCUCACUCUUAAUUAGUUGAUGUCACAAAAUUAAUCCUGUAAAUGAUGAUGUCAAACUGAGGAAAAAACAAAACAAAAGAAAAAGUCAAAAGAUACAGAAAGAGGAUUUGUAGGAUAUCUAAUCCAGAAGUAAACGAAGUAUAUUAUGCAUAGAUUCCAUUGUAAGUCGCAUAUAAAUAUUUAGGAUUGUGUUAAGUAAACGGAGGAGGCAUGCUGCAUGCCCUAGUUUGUCAGUGAAUGAGUAGAGCUCGUGGGGGCUUGUGUUUAGGCUUCUUCAAGUACACGUGGCUAAGGCCACCUAAUUGCAAAUGUCAUAAUAGUUUCAUGAUGAAAAUAAAAAUGCCAAAGUUAACCACAAGAUGUGAUGCGGUUGGUAAACUGUCAUCUCCAACUAGCGAGCUACCUAGUGCCUCAAUAGCAAGGGUUCGAAGCCCAUUGGAAGCACUUUGUGGUUAGGAGCAAGUCGAACCCCGAGUGGGCAUUAAUCUCACCCUUCGAAUGUGAGGACACUUGUGAUAUUUACCAAAAAAAAGCCAUAGUUCAUUAAGGUGUAUCAUUUUUUAAGUUAGAUUUCUGAUAAGAUUUGUUGGUUUAUCAUUAUUCUCAUAAGCUCAAGUAUUGAGGGAUGUGAUUUAACACUUGUUUUAUGUUGUAAAAGGAUAUCUUGAUGUACAUUUAUGCUUUUGAAAUCAAAUAAUUUCAUCUGGACAACCAAAUGAUAGGUAUCGAGCACAAGGGAUUUGUAUAGAUGAAGUGGUUAAGAGUGUUUAUCCUUAUACCUAAGGUCAUAGGUUCGAUUCCCCCCUCACCUAAUAUUGCUUUAUAAAAAAAAAUAAAAAAAUAGCUAAUGCCAACUUUUGUACAAUUUAAAGUUUUAUUAGUGAGAUAUAUUUUAGACAUCCUCAUUGUUUAAUAGCUGUACUUCUUCGUACCGUCUGGAAAUGAUUAGUUAGUAAGUCCUUUUCUAUGAGAAAUAGUUUGAUUAGAGGCAUUAGUAAUGCCGAAUUUUUUUUCUUUAGUAAACUCCGAUCGCUUUCUUCAUCUUUAAACAAUAAUCUGUGACUUGGAAAGUCAAAUAUAUGUGGUCUGCAGGGACUGUAAUUUAUUCAUUCUCUCUUUGUAUUCUCUCUAACAAAUGUAAUUAACUUAGUAAUUAAACUAAUAGCCAAUGCUUAUCUUGAUAGAUAGAUAGAGAUAAUGCAAAGUAAACCAUCAAUCAUCUUCACAAAUAUCUUAAAUUAUUUUAUUGAAAUGAUCCGUACUGUAACGUACAUGGCCAAAAACGAAAAGAUGAUAUCAAACCGUUGAAUCAAAUUCAAAAGUAAGACUAAUAGGAAACAAAUAUGGUAAAAGUGAUGUCAAUUGACACUAAUUAGUUUGAUUUUUAUACUAAAGAAAUUCUAAUUCAAUAGCUCUUCAGAAUGUUGGAAGAUGUUCGAAAUUUGAAUCAUGAUUGAGCCUCGAUAAAAAAACAUAAACAAAAAACAUGCAGGCUGCAGCUACUGUACAGUGUGGUUUCCUUUAAGCCCAUUUAGCCACAAGGACGUGCCUACGUCACCUGAGAGGACUGCCACAUAAGCCCACAUAUGAAGUUUGACGCUGCCUUGCAACUGGGGCCUCAUGAAAUCAGAUGAAGCAGGCUCAGCCCAAAUUGGUCCAAACUGCAAAGGCUUUGUUGGGGAUGGACCGAGCCGGCAAAUUGAGUUCAAAAUAUCCCCUUACUUUUCAUUUCCACGCAUGUUCAUAAACUAGGUGAAGCUAAAUUCUUUUUCUUCUUCAAAAUCCGUAGAGUUAUUUUCACAUUACAUUGUAACCAUUCUCUAAAAGAUACUGCUUGCCUCUUUUUCUGUAAAGAGAUAUUCGUCCUUCAUAUGAAUCACAGUUUGAUACAUAUGCAAAAAUAAUUGAUCAAAAACACAAAAUGAAAAACUUAUGCACACAUGUCACACUGCUAUUAACAGGAAUGCAAAAUCUCCUACCUACACGGUAAAGAGGAAAGUAUUUUCAUUCUCUAAAAAACCUACGAGAAAUAAAUAAUUCCUAACCUAAAAGUUAGAACACUUACUUGUACCAAAAGCAAAUAAAAAAUGUCUACAUUUUUUGAACUCUCUCUUCCCCACCAAGGAAAAACUAUGUGCCACUAAAAUUUCCCUACUUUUUUUUGUUGUGGUUUUUCUUUCUUUCUUUUGCAUAUUAAAAUCUUCCCAUGUAGGGUAGUUGAGUUAUGGUAUGAGCACUUCUAACAUGAAGGUUCAAAUCAAAAGCAAAGAGUGCUGCCACCAAAGACACAAUCAUUCAAGUUAAAGAUGAGAUUUGGUCAUCUGCACUGACUAUAUAUACCCUAAUCACAUGCAACUCUUCUUUUCUCUCUGUCCAAAUAUCAUAUAAUUCAAGUACCCCACAAACAACAGUGAGGGUUUCUUCUUGCUUUGCUUGUUUAUUUUAAUACCUUUUCCAACAGCUCACAUUGUCAUUGGGUUUUGAUAAGCGUGAAGCAAAUGAUCACUAGCAUAUUACCGUUGGCUUUUGGAAUUGCAGGGAUACUGUUUCUCCCACUAAGCCUUUUAAAUUGAACACAUGGCAGAGUCAUUAAGCAUUAAAUAAAAAAAUCUCCCCUUUCUAAUCUCUCUCUAAAAAGUUGUCAUGCACACAUAAUUGUUGGCCCCAUUUUUAUAAAGAAAAAUGUGUUGGAGAAGAAAGGAAGCAUCCAUUAAAUCUAAAGACGAUGGACCACAUUUAGCAGGUGGACAAAAAAGUCAAUUCAAAAACCCUCUCAUUGGAUCCACAUAUUAUAGUAUUAUUGCAUAUCGUUUUGUCCACCGCCUCAUCUUUAAACACCACAAAAUAAUUAACUUCAUAAAAUUAAUACCACCUGCAGAUUAAUCAGGUGGUUAAGUAAAUCAAAUCAAACAUUGAAGCACAUUUCCAUUCAUCUUUUAAAAAAAAAAACCAUUAACUUGCAAUUUACAGGGACCAUAUAGGCCCUAGGGUUGUGUGUUCUCUGUCAGAUACACAGUUGGCAUGUCUAUGUCGAUGUGGCCAUAUGUUGCCCUAGAAUUGAGCUUAUUAUAAUUGUCACGAUGAUGCUGUCAUAGCAUCCACCGCAACCUGUUCGAAACUAAUUAAAAUAAUUAACUUCUCCAAAUUUCCAAUUCAAAUUAUUUGAAUAGGAAAAAGAGUACAAAGUAAAGCGAGUCAUCUCAAUAGUAAUAAAAACUUUCAGUAACUUGACCUAACCGACAGAUUAAAACGAUAUACAUGAUUCUUAGAAAAUAUAUGGAUAGCCUUCAAUGACAUUGGCUAAAUAUUCUAUAAAGCAACCAAAACUUGAACAUCAAGCGAGGAAAACUUGGUAGCAUGCUUACCAUUAGAAAUGGUUCAAAUACAAGUUGGGUUUUGAUGUUGUUUUGACCAUUAGCUAUUGUGGGGCAGGAUUUUGAAAGGACCAACAUGAGUACAUGUGUGAAAAAGCAAAGACAACCACAUCUAACAUUAGUAAGUUUUUGACCCCACAACAAGAUAUAUGCACAUCUUCUUCUUCAUAUAACGCGGGGAUUGAGAUUGAGAUUGAGAGCAAGUUUUCAAAGAACAAUAUCUUUUUGCGAGGACGAAGAGACAACCCUAAACCAAACAAAUACCCCACUUCCUCCCCAAAUCUUCCCAAUUUAGCACAUUAUUGUAAUCUUGCGUUUGUUGGGGCCUUGUCCAUGGCCACUUGUGCUUUUGGAUAUCUAGCAUCAACCAACGUAACCAUCACGUGUCACUCAGAAAUUAAACGCAAUAAUUUAUAUUAUUGUUAUAUUGUUGCUGUGGUCACAAUAACAACAACAACAAAUACAGGAAAAAAGAAAAGCUAGGCCUAGGUUCUCUCUCUCAGUCGGUGGCAGACGAUAACUCCUAAAUUUCACUAUGGUUGAGUUACCAAUUAGACCACACCACAGUAGCACUGCCAACCCUAAUUUUGUCGGUAUUGUACCCUCCAGCUUUGCAGGACCCUCUGCUUCAUCUGAUCUGAUCCAAACCCUAAAUCAUCAGAAAAUCCAGUGGUGCCCAACUACGUGGCUCGUACACGUUUUCACCAAAGCAAUGACCUAGCAUAUUUUCCUAUAUAUAUAUAUAUGGUAGCUAGCCUGACACAAAGCCAUUAACGUACGCUUUCUGCUAGUCUCUUCUCUUUGGCGUAUUUUUAGGGUUCUUCUUUUGCACUCUAUUUUUUUUCUCUCUCUUUUUCUGAGAGAGUUCACAGAACCCCAUGACCCAUGAGAGUAAAAGCUGGUGGGGCAAUCUCACAUGUUAUUUACAACCUCAAGGCUCUUGCUUUAUUUUGUGCACCUAACCUAACAUAACAUCAUCUUUUCUGUUUUUUGUUUCUUCUGAUCCAUUUGCUGGAAAUGUCAUAAGUGCUUGCCCAAGUGGAGUUGCAGAUACCUAAUAUUCAAGUGAAAAGUUAUUUUCCUGUAUGACUGUCAUUUUUCCCUUUAUAAAACAUUAUUAUUGCUCUCGUAAAAUUAAAGUAACAAACAAUUAUAUUUAUAUUUUUUUUUAAAAGAAGAAGGUAAUAACUCAAAGUUUGCAAAAGUAAGAAAAUAAAUUAUGUACGUCGACAUAGAUAGAUCGGGUGCAUGGUGCAUGCAUUAUUAUUGUUUGUACUAUACGUUAGUACAAUAGUAGAGAAGAACUCAUUCAAUGAUGUAUAGGUAAAAAAGAAACACUGAUGUGACCUGAUCAAUGUCAAUUGGAAAGUGAAUAAUCCAAAUUUACUGCCUCAAUAAAAUUACAAAGAAGGAAUAUCUAUAAUCAAUAAAGAAGAUGGAGUUGCAACGUGCUCGUUGCUUUAAAUCUGAGUUCGAUUUCUCUUCUCAUACAUACAUUAUAGUAGUUUUCGAUUUCUCUCUUUAUACAUUGUAAAAAAUUAAAUACAAAGGCUUAUAUGGUUUUCGAAAUUAUAUAUAUGGUACCUAGUCGUACUCGUAGACUGCCAUUCACUAUCUACCAUUUUAAAUACACUUGAUUUAUUUUUGGUAUAGUUUCAUUCAUGGGUUGGCGUGCCGGUGCCACAAUGUAUUACAAUAGCUACACCUACAAGACAGAGAAAAAUAAUAUAAAUUUAUUUUCUCUUUGCUUGUUCUUGUUUUAUGCUUUGGAUAGUCAAAUCCUCUAUGGAUAGGCAGUUGCACCAUUUGCUGAUGAAGCUGCUGUUUUCUGAAUGAUGGAUGCUGCUCUGAAACCAAGCAAUAUUUAACAAAUAAUAGAGGCCAUCCAUUUUAUGGGUCCCACUAAUGUUAAUAAGCAUCAGUCUGACGUGUCAGGUGGGCAUUUGCACUUGCCACAUGUCCACGUCAUUGCUAAACAACACUCCCCACCCACCACUAAUUUUGGACACUUGUGAAUACUGAGUGAGCGAAGAAGCCCACUAUUUAUCCACGUCUCUUUUUCUUGUUUUUUCUUCGUGCAUGGAUGGAGUGAUGGUGGUGGUAAAAAAAUAAACACGCUGUAAAAUUUGGGACAAAUUAUUAUUUCUCUGUAGAAAAAGAAAGAGAAAAGUAACUAGGUAAAAACAUUAUCAUUAAAGAGGAUCUCAAUCUUGUUUUUGUUUUUGUUUUUGUGCUUUUGGGUUGAUGGAGAAUCAUCAAACGUAAGAUCUACUUUUCCUCUCACACCACUUACUCAUAAUGUCAGCAUUUUUGUGAAUUUCAAUUGAAUGCGAUCAUUUAAAUUUGUUGUUGUAAGUAGAUAGAGAAUGAAUUUUCUCUUGGUGCAUGGAUUUUGAAUUCUGAGAAAGCACUUUUCUUCUACAGCUUGUUUAGAAACUAAUUCAAAAAAUUUUGAAUUAUGAUUUACCUUUCAUCUCACCUAGUCUCAUAUCAUGCCAUGCCAUGCCACUUGAGUUGUAAGGUUCAUGGUCAUUUUAAAACUUCAAAACUAGUUAUUGAUGGAUUUGUUGUUUGUUAUUGAAUGCUUUCUUUUAAUAGUAUGCAAUGUUUCAAGAAGCGAGUUUUACGGCAUAAAUGACGUUAUUUUAAUUGUCUGAAUUAUGGUCAUUUGAAUUGAAUUGAAUGACGUCAUUUAAUUUUUAUUAUUGUAAGUAGUCAAAGAAUGAAUGCGCACUUUAAGCAUGAGUUACGUGUGAUUGUGAAUUGAGAUAUGUAUUUAUUAUUAUGAAAAAAUAAAGUAGUUGCAAUUUUAACCCAAUAUUUUCUUUUUCAAAAUUAUAUAGACUCCGCGAUUAAUUACGUACGUGAUCUAAUGUAAAUACUCACUAGUCAUUUUACCAUCAACUUUUUCUUAUGUACAAACUGAUAUGCAUUAUAUAUCCCCCUCCAUUGUCAAUCAAAUUCAUCUUUAUUUGCCAUUGUGCGACUCUCCAAUAGUUUAUACACAGGGAAAGAUGAAACUGCACAGAAUCACAUGCAAACUGUUCCAUAAUAGAUCCUUUGUUUAGGGGCAGCCGGAUGCGAAAUAUGAGAAUGUACUUGUAGAUUUUUAUAUUUGAAGUAAGUAUCAUUCAAAUUGUUUGACUUGCCCUCUGAUUGCAUCCAGACAUAAUCUUAAUGGCAUCACCAAAAGCAUUUCUGAAUACUGGUAAUAAAAUUUUGAGAUACCAAACCAUUACUUUUAUGAGUCUAGGUUCCUGCUCCUGCUCCCCCGAUUUUAAUAUUUGGGUUCACAUUAAACGUAUAAAAUACCUUCCAGAUAACAUAGUGACCACAAUACAGAGAGAGAGAGAGAGAGAGAGACAGAGACAGAGAGAGAAGUUGGUGUCAAUUGAUUAGACAAAUGAGUAAUAUGGUGGAUACGGGUCGCUUUUUAAGUAUAGUUCCUUUGCUUUGCAAGAAAUCUGAGACAUUGAAUGGAAAGAAAGAAGUCACAUAUAUAUAAAGAAUCAAAAGCAAACAUGGAAAAGUUAAAAAGGAAAGGGGUAGAGGAUCUGAUCAAACAUUAUCAUUUCAUUUCAUCUGGAUUGACAAGUACAACAAUAUCAUGCUUUUUUCCAUAUCCUAUUGCGCAUGUUUGAUGAUUGUCUAAUUACUUACACUUCUUUUUAAGCAGAAAGAAGAAAAGCAAAUAAUAAUGUGGUUUGUGAUGUUCCCAUAAGCAUUCCAUAAGUGAGGUGUGGAUUUUGCCACUAAGACGCAUGAGUAAACAAGUCCAUAAAAGCUAUAGGUCUUAUCAAGCAAAGGAUUCAAACUUGGCAAAUAUGCAAGGUGACAUAUAGCUUGGAUUAAGCAAAGUUGGGUUAAUUGUAGGUUAAGACUGAGUGAUUCGGAUUGAGUUCGGUUUGCCAACAAUCUUGAUUCGUGUUAAACUCAAUCUCGACCAAGUUAAGAGAUGGUAAACACAUACUUAACUUGACUUCUAACCAAAUUCACUGUCACUACUGAUCUAAAUGAAUUCGAAUUUCGAGUGAACUUCGAAUUAGAUCAUUGUAAACCAACCCAAAUUAAAUCAUUUAAUUAAGAGGCAUAAACGUGCAUGUGAAACCGAUUAACAACGUGGAACAAAAACCAAAGGUUAUGAUGUACUAGUUGAAUAUGGAGGUCCCCAAGAAAAAAGAACGAAAAACCCUCAUAAAAGUAUUGAACUCUCUCCCCAAGAAAGAAAUGAAAAACUGGUAAAAGUUACCCUACGAAAAAUUGGGAAAGCUACAAAGGAAGGAGAGCAAUUGAAAUAAUAAUAAUGGAGGUCCCCACAUUGGAGAAGACGAUAUGAUGCUAAUUUUGACGUCUCACGAUUGUUGGCAUACACAUUUUUAACCUGCUGCUUUUUUUUAUGACAUUUUGAGCUCUCUGUCCAAACCCAACAACUCGAAAGGCUUUGGCAUUGCUGCAUGAUGCAUGAACAAGACCCCAACAAGAAGAGAUAAGAGAUGCCCACCAUAUGCAUCUUGUUCUUCACAAAAUUCAACCCACCGCCCUAGAAACUUUCCAAAGCUGUGGAUGGAUGCCUUGCCACACCAGAUGGGAAAAGUUAAAUUCUGAUUAAAAAGAAAAGGAAGAUCCAAGUUUUAAAAAAAUGGGGGUAGGUAUACCGCAAUUGUAAAGUGUUUGACAAUUUCUUUUUGCCUCUGCUUUUGGUUAACAACUCAGUAUCUCUCAAUGCAGCCCAAAAAACAAGAAAAACCGAUUUCCCUUAAAUUGCUUUUCUUAAAGCAGUGAGACCAAUUAGGUAUGAAACUCAUCAUGCACAUUGCUCAAAUGGAAAGAAAAUAAAAAGUAAAAAAAAUGAUGGAAAUUAAAUAUACCCAAUAGAAACAAAAUUUGUAAUCCUACUCUUUUUUUUUUUUCCUUUUUGUCCAAAAAGUAUUUGACAAUAUUUUUCUGUUCAAUUUCUGAGGACUAAAAAAAUCCUAAGAGAAAUUAACAUGCACACUGGCAUUCAUGACAGAGUUACAUACAGGGCAAUUGAGAAGGGUGGACCCACACAUUGUACACAGGCACAAAUGCCUGCAUGGCAGUAACAACACCCUUGACUCCC